UACGGAGGGAGCUAGCGUUGUUCGGAAUUACUGGGCGUAAAGCGCACGUAGGCGGCUUUGUAAGUUAGAGGUGAAAGCCUGGUGCUCAACACCAGAACUGCCUUUAAGACUGCAUCGCUUGAAUCAUGGAGAGGCGGGUGGAAUUCCGAGUGUAGAGGUGAAAUUCGUAGAUAUUCGGAAGAACACCAGUGGCGAAGGCGGCCCGCUGGACAUGUAUUGACGCUGAGGUGUGAAAGCGUGGGGAGCAAACAGG
rnacentral:rRNA from 1 species